UACGAAGGGAGCUAGCGUUGUUCGGAAUCACUGGGCGUAAAGCGCACGUAGGCGGAUUUGCCAGUCAGGGGUGAAAUCCCGGGGCUCAACCUCGGAACUGCCUUUGAUACAGCAAGUCUUGAGUUCGAGAGAGGUGGGUGGAAUUCCUAGUGUAGAGGUGAAAUUCGUAGAUAUUAGGAAGAACACCGGUGGCGAAGGCGGCCCACGGGCUCGACACUGACGCUGAGGCACGAAAGCGUGGGGAGCAAACAGG
rnacentral:rRNA from 1 species